CCGCCGAGCCCGGCUGCCGGGCGUGCGCGGCUCGCGGAGCAGGUGCCGGCGAGCCUCGCUCAUGCGGCUGCCCGGCCCGAGGUGGUAGCGGCGCCCGCGCGCUCCGCCCGCCGCUUCUGGGCCGCACUCGGCUCCGGCGCGGGACCAUGUCUCUGGUGACUGGUGGCAGCGAGGCGGCCGGCGGCGGAGCCGGCAGCGGCGGCGGCGGCGGCGGCGCGCGGGUUUUCUUCCAGAGCCCCCGGGGCGGCGCCGGCAGCAGCCCCUGCUCCGGCAACAGCUCAGGCUCCUCCCGGGAGGACUCGGCGCCCGAGGUCGCGGCGGCCGCUGCCGGGCAGGUUCAGGAGCCGCAGCCCCAGCAGCAGCAGCGGCGCCACCAGCAGGGAAAAGUGACGGUGAAAUAUGACCGCAAGGAGCUUCGCAGGCGGCUGGUGCUGGAGGAGUGGAUCGUGGAGCAGCUGGGUCAGCUGUACGGCUGCGAGGAAGAAGAAAUGCCAGAUGUAGAAAUUGACAUUGACGAUCUUCUUGAUGCAGACAGUGAGGAAGAGAGAGCUUCAAAAUUACAGGAAGCUCUUGUAGACUGCUACAAGCCAACGGAGGAAUUUAUCAAAGAGCUCCUCUCUCGGAUAAGAGGCAUGCGGAAACUGAGCCCUCCACAGAAGAAGAGCGUAUGAUUCUGGAUCAGGGCGGAGUUCUCCGGAGACGAAGACAGGGUUCUGGGAUGUAGACUCCAUGACGACUUUUGUUAAAGAAUAGUUGUCCUUAAGAACAAGUGGUUUGGUUUGUUUUUUUGUUUGUUUGUUUUUUGUUUUGUUUUUGUUUUUUUUUUGGUGUGCAGGGGAAUCUUCUACACAUUUAUUCAAGAUCGUUGCUGUUGCUGUUUUUAAAGGUUUUUGAUAGUGUAAUAUUUUAAUAGCCAAGAUAUCAUGACUCUAACUACAGCCCAGCCAAGGAUUAUCAAAGCAGGUGGACAUUCAGAGACGGGCCAGGGCAGGCAGCAUUUUCUGCAAGGACUCAGGCGUUCAGGACCUUACUCCACAGAGAAGAUGGUUUUCUUACAGCUAAUUUGGGAAUACUUUUUUCUUAUAUUGUACAUCUGACUCACAGGUCAAAUUUCUCAUACUUGUAUAUAUCUACACACCAGUCAUUUAAGAUGUCGCUGUGAGCUUCAUUUCACAUUGACGGAAUAAACUCCUUGCCGUCCCUUAGUGGGAGGUCACUGGGCUGUUCUUCCCGUCCGUGCAGCUGACCCUCAACAUUCACUCUGUGCACCAAAGUGAAAGAAUUCGGAGUAUCCGUUAUUCUCACGCGCUCCGCUACGACAACGUUGAGUUGGUCAAGGGCUUCAUUUAUGGACUUUGUAUUAUUUCAUUGGUUGGGAUGCUUUGCCAGGUCAUGUGCUUAUUGCCUCAUUUGUGGUCUUUUACAGUUUUAUGAACCCUUUGUUUGAAGAACGAACUUGAUUUCUAGAGAAAUGCCCACGCUCUCAGAGCAGUGUUUUGCAGCAGAAGGGGAAGCAUGGGAUAGCAUUGAAUUCUCCGCUUUCAACCAAAUACUGGGUGUUGUUCCCUCUCCCUGAAAGCAGAUCAAAAAGUGGUUACCAAGGCAGUGUGUUCUUCCUCUGACGCAGUCUGGUCCCUCCUGAGCCUGGGUGGCACCAGACUGGGAGUGAGACCUCAGGGCUGGACAGGUGGAGGAGUGACAAGACCGCUAGUACGGCACCAUUUGCUGAUUUGGAAGCACGGAGAUUCCAUUUCCAUGGCUUAUGGUGAGAGCUUUGGGGGGGGGGGGGGUCCUGGCCCUAAUUAUGCACCCCUGUCCCCAUGCUCAGAGCCAGGCCUGAGCACAGCCCAAAGUUGAAUUCAGCUGGGAUGUGGGCGGAGUCAAAGGUAAGAGAAGAAACUCUUCUUUCAGGUGGCCCCUGCUGUUUCCCCUGGAAACCCCACCUGCUCUAAGGUGUCUCUGGGUGGCCCUGUCUGAGCACAGGGGUCAAGCAUUUUCUAUCAAGGGUGCUCUGAACAUAUUUUAUUUUUUAAAAGAACUAUGUUUGUGAAUUUUACGUAUACUGGCAAGCUUUUGAAAAUGUAUUUAAUUUUGUAAUGUUUACCAAUGAUUUAUUUACAAGCUACUUACUGAAAUAAAUGGAGCUGCUUACUGA